UACGUAGGGGGCAAGCGUUGUCCGGAUUUAUUGGGCGUAAAGAGCGUGUAGGCGGCUAGAUAGGUCCGUUGUGAAAACUCGAGGCUCAACCUCGAGACGUCGAUGGAAACCAUCUGGCUAGAGUCCGGAAGAGGAGAGUGGAAUUCCUGGUGUAGCGGUGAAAUUCGUAGAUAUUCGCAAGAACACCAGUGGCGAAGGCGGCUCACUGGCCCGAUACUGACGCUGAGGCACGAAAGCGUGGGGAGCAAACAGG
rnacentral:rRNA from 1 species